rnacentral:rRNA from 1 species
GGAGACGCUGGCGGCGUGGAUUAGGCAUGCAAGUCGAACGGUAUCAUCCUUCGGGGGUGAGAGAGUGGCGAACUGGUGAGUAACACGUAGGUUAUCUACCCUCAAGACGGGGACAACCCCAGGGAAAACUUGGGCUAAAUACCGGAUGUGAGCAACUUUUAGUUGUUUGAAAGUGGCGUAAGCUGUCGCUUGGGGAUGAGCCUGCGUCCUAUUAGUUAGUUGGUGAGGUAACGGCUCACCUAGGCAAUGAUAGGUAGGCGGCCUUAACGGGUGGCCGCCCACACUGGGAUUGAGAUACGGCCCAGACUCCUACGGGAGGCAGCAGUCGAGAAUAGUCUACAAUGGUCGGAAGACUGAUAGUGCGACGCCGCGUGAACGAUGAAUCCCUUCGGGGUGUAAAGUUCUUUUAUAUGUGAGCAGUGCUUCUUAUAUUAACAGUAUGGGGAGAGAGAUAUUAGCAUAUGAAUAAGCAACGGCUAACUCCGUG